ACGAUGUCGACUUGGAGGUUGUGCCCUUGAGGCGUGGCUUCCGGAGCUAACGCGUUAAGUCGACCGCCUGGGGAGUACGGCCGCAAGGUUAAAACUCAAAUGAAUUGACGGGGGCCCGCACAAGCGGUGGAGCAUGUGGUUUAAUUCGAUGCAACGCGAAGAACCUUACCUGGUCUUGACAUCCACGGAAGUUUUCAGAGAUGAGAAUGUGCCUUCGGGAACCGUGAGACAGGUGCUGCAUGGCUGUCGUCAGCUCGUGUUGUGAAAUGUUGGGUUAAGUCCCGCAACGAGCGCAACCCUUAUCCUUUGUUGCCAGCGGUCCGGCCGGGAACUCAAAGGAGACUGCCAGUGAUAAACUGGAGGAAGGUGGGGAUGACGUCAAGUCAUCAUGGCCCUUACGACCAGGGCUACACACGUGCUACAAUGGCGCAUACAAAGAGAAGCGACCUCGCGAGAGCAAGCGGACCUCAUAAAGUGCGUCGUAGUCCGGAUUGGAGUCUGCAACUCGACUCCAUGAAGUCGGAAUCGCUAGUAAUCGUGGAUCAGAAUGCCACGGUGAA
rnacentral:rRNA from 1 species